rnacentral:rRNA from 1 species
UUGUCCGGAUUUACUGGGUGUAAAGGGCGUGUAGCCGGGAGGGCAAGUCAGAUGUGAAAUCCACGGGCUCAACUCGUGAACUGCAUUUGAAACUACUCUUCUUGAGUAUCGGAGAGGCAAUCGGAAUUCCUAGUGUAGCGGUGAAAUGCGUAGAUAUUAGGAGUAACACCAGUGGCGAAGGCGGAUUGCUGGACGACAACUGACGGUGAGGCGCGAAAGCGUGGGGAGCAAACAGGAUUAGAUACCCUGGUAGUCCACGCUGUAAACGAUGAAUACUAGGUGUGCGGGGACUGACCCCCUGCGUGCCGCAGCUAACGCAAUAAGUAUUCCACCUGGGGAGUACGAUCGCAAGGUUGAAACUCAAAGGAAUUGACGGGGGCCCGCACAAGCGGUGGAUUAUGUGGUUUAAUUCGAAGCAACGCGAAGAA